rnacentral:rRNA from 1 species
UACGUAGGAUGCAAGCGGUGUCCGGCUUUAUGGGGUUUAAAGGGUGCGUAGGCGGCCUAUUAAGUUAGUGGUGAAAACGUUCGGCUUAACCGGAUACCCGCCAUUGAUACUGAUAGACUUGAGUGCGACAGAGGGUGUUGGAAUGUGUGGUGUAGCGGUGAAAUGCUUAGAUAUCACGCAGAACACCAAUUGCGAAGGCAGAUGCCUAUGUCGUAACUGACGCUGAGGCACGAAAGCGUGGGGAGCAAACAGG